CUGGAUUGUAGACAUCAAACCUUGGAGCCAGAGCUGGACGUAUCCAACAGACAUGGACCCCAGACCUGAAGCUGGACUCAUCCAGACCUUGAACUCCAGGCACCAGGUACUGAGGCUUCGUAGAGAAGGUGGGACAUGCUUCUGUACCAUCUUGACCUCCGUAUCUCCCCCAGGAAGCGUGGAC